GUGAGGAAUUUUCCGCAAUGGGCGAAAGCCUGACGGAGCAAUGCCGCGUGAAGGAUGAAGGCCUAUGGGUUGUAAACUUCUUUUCUCAGAAAAGAAUUAUGACGGUAUCUGAGGAAUAAACAUCGGCUAACUCUGUGCCAGCAGCCGCGGUAAGACAGAGGAUGCAAGCGUUAUCCGGAAUGAUUGGGCGUAAAGCGUCUGUAGGUUGUUUAAAAAGUAUUCUUGCAAAGAUUAGGGCUUAACCCUAGAUAGGCAGAAUAAACUUUUAAGCUAGUGUUUGGUAGAGGCAGAGGGAAUUCCCGGUGGAGCGGUGAAAUGCGUAGAUAUCGGGAGGAACACCAAAGGCGAAGGCACUCUGCUGGGCCAAUACUAACACUGAGAGACGAAAGCGAGGGGAGCAAAUGGGAUUAGAAACCCUGGUAGUCC
rnacentral:rRNA from 1 species